CACUAUAGAAAUAUAUAUACGCGUACGUAAACUGGGCAUUUGGGGGAGGCUAAAUCCUCCGGCAUUAUUUCAUAGACGCAGGCUAAAGAAAAUGACAGGACAAUGCUUACUUACAACUACCUUAUUUUGAUCUUUUUUCAGAUCCACAUAAUAUACACUCACAAAAGAAGCAAGAAAAACGAGAUACAACAUGCACAGAUGCUGCAAGCUGUUUCCUCCUCGACGUAGAGUUCGUGUACGAAAACUACAAGAGCCUCAAUGUCAUAGGAAUUCUAUAAAAAUAUGUAUUGUCUAAAAAU
rnacentral:lncRNA from 1 species